rnacentral:rRNA from 1 species
AGGAUGAACGCUGGCGGCGUGCCUAAAACAUGCAAGUCAUACGGACUACCUUCGGGUAGUCAGUGGCAAACGGGUGAGUAACACGUGGGAACACGCCUUCGAGUGGGGAACAACCAGCCGAAAGGUUGGCUAAAUACCGCAUACGCCCUACGGGGGAAAGCGGGGGAUCGUAAGACCUCGCGCUAAUGGAUGAGCCCAAGUCGGAUUAGCUUGUUGGUAGGGUAACGGCCUACCAAGGCGACAAUCCGUAGCUGGUCUGAGAGGACGACCAGCCACACCGGAACUGAGACACGGUCCGGACUCCUACGGGAGGCAGCAGUGGGGAAUAUUGGACAAUGGGGGAAACCCUGAUCCAGCGACGCCGCGUGUGUGAAGAAGGCCUGCGGGUUGUAAAGCACUUUUAGUGGGGACAAAAAGCUACGGAUUAAUACUCUGUGGUCUUGAUUUAACCCAAAGAAAAAGCACCGGCUAACUCUGUGCCAGCAGCCGC